CAAAAAACAGAAAACUCUGCCUUUUUCUCUCUUUUCUUCUCACUGAUGAUUUUGGGAAAGUUGUGCUCCCAUUUAUCCUUUUGUUUCAAUCUGCCAUCAAGCGGCGGCAGUUUUACCGUCCGUCACUGAUCGGCGAACGAGAUAACCGAUCCCUACUAGUUUAUUAUUAUGUAAUAACCCUUGAAUAAAGUUGUUAUUUAUUCUUGAUGUAUCAAUUAUCAUUUCCAUAAUAAUAUGUUGGUUAAUGAUACAACUUGAGCAUAUAUUAGAAUUUCUGUUAUUUUGAAUUA